ACGGGAGGCAGCAGUAGGGAAUUUUCGGCAAUGGGGGCAACCCUGACCUAGCAACGCCGCGUGAAGGAAGAAGGCCUUCGGGUUGUAAACUUCUUUUAUGAGGGACGAAGGACGUGACGGUACCUCAUGAAUAAGCCACGGCUAAUUACGUGCCAGCAGCCGCGGUAAUACGUAGGUGGCAAGCGUUAUCCGGAUUUACUGGGUGUAAAGGGCGCGUAGGCGGGGAUGCAAGUCAGAUGUGAAAUCCAUGGGCUCAACUCAUGAACUGCAUUUGAAACUGUAUCUCUUGAGUGCUGGAGAGGUAGAUGGAAUUCCUAGUGUAGCGGUGAAAUGCGUAGAUAUUAGGAAGAACACCAGUGGCGAAGGCGAUCUACUGGACAGUAACUGACGCUGAGGCGCGAAAGCGUGGGGAGCAAACAGGAUUAGAUACCCUGGUA
rnacentral:rRNA from 1 species